rnacentral:rRNA from 1 species
AUUGAACGCUGGCGGCAGGCCUAACACAUGCAAGUCGAGCGGAUGAAGGGAGCUUGCUCCUGGAUUCAGCGGCGGACGGGUGAGUAAUGCCUAGGAAUCUGCCUGGUAGUGGGGGAUAACGUCCGGAAACGGGCGCUAAUACCGCAUACGUCCUGGGGGAGAAAGGGGGGGAUCUUCGAACCUCACGCUACCAGAUGAGCCUAGGUCGGAUUAGCUAGUUGGUGGGGUAAAGGCCUACCAAGGCGACGAUCCGUAACUGGUCUGAGAGGAUGAUCAGUCACACUGGAACUGAGACACGGUCCAGACUCCUACGGGAGGCAGCAGUGGGGAAUAUUGGACAAUGGGCGAAAGCCUGAUCCAGCCAUGCCGCGUGUGUGAAGAAGGUCUUCGGAUUGUAAAGCACUUUAAGUUGGGAGGAAGGGCAGUAAGUUAAUACCUUGCUGUUUUGACGUUACCAACAGAAUAAGCACCGGCUAACUUCGUG